UCAGUUAUCGUUUAUUUGAUAAUACCUUACUACUUGGAUAACCGUGGUAAUUCUAGAGCUAAUACAUGCUGAAAAUCCCGACUUCGGAAGGGAUGUGUUUAUUAGAUAAAAAACCAAUGCCCUUCGGGGCUUUUUGGUGAUUCAUGAUAACUUUACGGAUCGCAUAGCCUUGCGCUGGCGACGGUUCAUUCAAAUUUCUGCCCUAUCAACUUUCGAUGGUAAGGUAUUGGCUUACCAUGGUUUCAACGGGUAACGGGGAAUUAGGGUUCGAUUCCGGAGAGGGAGCCUGAGAAACGGCUACCACAUCCAAGGAAGGCAGCAGGCGCGCAAAUUACCCAAUCCCGACACGGGGAGGUAGUGACAAUAAAUACUGAUACAGGGCUCUUUUGGGUCUUGUAAUUGGAAUGAGUACAAUUUAAACCUCUUAACGAGGAACAAUUGGAGGGCAAGUCUGGUGCCAGCAGCCGCGGUAAUUCCAGCUCCAAUAGCGUAUAUUAAAGUUGUUGCAGUUAAAAAGCUCGUAGUUGAAACUUGGGUCUGGCUGGCGGGUCCGCCUCACCGCGUGCACUCGUCCGGCCGGGCCUUCCUUCUGAAGAACCUCAUGCCCUUCACUGGGCGUGUUGGGGAAUCAGGACUUUUACUUUGAAAAAAUUAGAGUGUUCAAAGCAGGCCUUUGCUCGAAUACGUUAGCAUGGAAUAAUAAAAUAGGGCGUGCGUUUCUAUUUUGUUGGUUUCUAGAGACGCCGCAAUGAUUAACAGGAACAGUCGGGGGCAUCAGUAUUCAGUUGUCAGAGGUGAAAUUCUUGGAUUUACUGAAGACUAACUACUGCGAAAGCAUUUGCCAAGGAUGUUUUCAUUAAUCAGUGAACGAAAGUUAGGGGAUCGAAGACGAUCAGAUACCGUCGUAGUCUUAACCGU
rnacentral:rRNA from 1 species